UUGAAAGGGAAACGAUUGAAGUCAGUCGUGCUGGCGCGAAAUCAACCUUCUCGUCUUGAGAUCACAUGGCGUGGCGAGCCUCAAAACCGUCACGAAGCGUGAACUCUUGGUGAAAGGGAGCACUUUCGUGUCCGCUGGUUAACAUCAAUUUCGAACGUCAUAAAAAGGCUGGAGGGAUGUGGCUCCUUCGGGAGUGUCAUAACCUUUAGCGGAAUGUGGUGUUCGGGAUUGAGGAUUGCAACGAAUACCUUUAGGGCUGUUCCACCUGGCUUCUCUUUGGUAUCCUGGUGACGACAGCUUGCUGACGUCGUUAGGAUUCGCCUUUGAACAGGCUAGAGUGUGAGCAAAUUCGUUAAGGAUGUUGACGUA
rnacentral:rRNA from 1 species